GGACUGGGGAAGGCAUGCGCUAGGUCCUGACCUUUAUCAGUGACUGUCCCUGUCCACCGCUUCCUGGGGGGAGUCUGGUGGCAGGUGCUCCAAACUUUCCAGUCUACCCACUGCAGGCAGUGGUGGGGUCCCCACGGAGAGCUGGGUUUUCCUUUCUGGGAGCUCCCCUCUGGCCAGAAGCCUUGGCCUCCAGUCCUUCCAGCAUUUUUCGGGCAUGUUCAUUGGGUUUGCACUUCCCUGCGCUGCCCUCGUGCACUGGCUUCUCCUUCACCUUCCUUAUGGUUUGUCCUCGCAGCUCGCCCUUCGCUCCCCAGCUCGCCAGCCCCCCAACCCGAGGCCCCCGGGGGCGCUCGGCUAUCCGGAGGAACCAGAACCCGGGUCGGGAUCCGCGCUGUUAGCAGGGAUGGGAGAGGUCGGGGGAGGGAGGCUGGGAUCUGGGGAGGAGACACGCGGCUGGCGCUGGGGAGAGCACCACCCGGGGCCACCGGGGAGCGACCUGCCGGGGGCGCACGGCGCCAAGCGCUGCCCUCGGGCGGGGCGCGCCCCGUUCGCGCGUGGGGUCAGUCACACGCAGCACGCCGCCCGCCGCCCGCGGGUCGAGAACCUUCCAGCUGGAACUUCCCAGAUUCCCGGCACCCUGUCUUCUCCCGCUUUCGGAUGCACGCUUCCUGAGAGCAGUGGCCUUGUAGGCGUUGUUUAGCACUGUAUUCUCACUACCUAAAACUGAGACUGGUUCAUGGAAGUGCUCUCAGCAACUUUCAGAGGUUCCGAGCGAUGCCCGACGCGGGUGGGAGCGAGAGCCCGCGCGCUCCCCGGCGGGCCUGAGCCCUGAGGGUGGCGCGCGGCCCCGGAGGCGGCCCCGGCCCCGGCCCCGGCCCC